UACGUAGGGGGGCAAGCGUUGUCCGGAUUUAUUGGGCGUAAAGAGCGUGUAGGCGGCCAGAUAGGUCAGCUGUGAAAACUCGAGGCUCAACCUCGAGACGUCGGUUGAAACCGUAUGGCUAGAGUCCGGAAGAGGAGAGUGGAAUUCCCGGUGUAGCGGUGAAAUGCGCAGAUAUCAGGAGGAACACCGGUGGCGAAGGCGGGUCUCUGGGCCGAUACUGACGCUGGAGGAGC
rnacentral:rRNA from 1 species